UAGAAUUUGAGCUGUUCAAAUUCUCCUCAGUGGUUUCAGUUUCACUCUUCUUAGGCUUGUCGACCUUGGGCUUUGGCUUGGGAAUUUUAUUAAUGGCAGCAACCUUAUCUUGAAGAUUGAACACCUUCAUGUAUACUUCCUCUGAUGUGAAUGCAGGUGUGUUAAAUCCUGAAGUCUUUUUCUGCUCAACCUCCUUCUCACCCAACCAACUUUUUAACUUGUCGGCAUCACUUAAAACCUCAUCUAUUCUAGUCUUUGGAAGCCAUGGUUUGUUUGUCUCCCAGCUCUGUAUGAUCUGUCUCAGCUCACCAAGGUACUUUAGAGCAAUCUCAGUCGCUGCUGGCCUUGC
rnacentral:misc_RNA from 1 species